UACGUAGGGGGCCAGCGUUGCUCGGAAUUACUGGGCGUAAAGGGUUCGUAGGUGGUGCGGCAAGUUGGAAGUGAAAUCUCUGGGCUUAACCCAGAGGCUGCUUCCAAAACUGCUGUGCUUGAGUGUGAGAGAGGCGCGUGGAAUUGCAGGUGUAGCGGUGGAAUGCGUAGAGAUCCGAUAGAAGACCGGUGGCGAAGGCGGCCUGCUGGGCAGUAACUGACACUGAGGCGCGACAGCGUGGGGAGCAAACAGG
rnacentral:rRNA from 1 species